AAUCCGUUAACGAGUACCAAAUGGAGGGCAAGUCUGGUGCCAGCAGCCGCGGUAAUUCCAGCUCCAAUAGCGAAUAUUAAAUUUGUUGCAGUUAAAAAGCUCGUAGUUGGAUCCAAGGUUAGGCAUGCCUGUCUGUUCUUAGUAGCAUGACUGUGUGUGUCUGCCUUUAUUAGUUGAAUGUUCAUUAUGGUGGUCUUCAUCGACUGCUAUGAUGUGCUCAACACGUUUACCUUGAAAAAAUCAGAGCGAUCAAGGCAGGCCUUCGUGCUUGUAUGUUGUUGCAAGGAAUAAUAGAAUAGGACUUCGGUUCUAUUUUGUUGGUUUUGAGAAUUGAAGUAAUGAACAAUAGAGACAGUCGGGGGCAUUUGUAUGGUGGCGUUAGAGGUGAAAUUCUGAGAUCGUCGCCAGACAAACUACUGCGAAAGCAUUUGCCAAGGAUGUCUUCAUUAAUCAAGAACGAAAGUCAGAGGUUCGAAGACGAUCAGAUACCGUCCUAGUUCUGACCAUAAACGAUGCCGACCUACAAUCGGGGGUGGUUUAUUAUAUUGACCCUCCCGGCUGUCCUCAGGAAACUUUAAGUUGGUUCUGGGGGGAAUAUGGUCUCAAGACUGAAACUUAAAGGAAUUGACGGAAGGGCACCACCAGGAGUGGAGCCUGCGGCUUAAUUUGACCCAACACGGGGAAUCUCACCCGGUCCGGACACUGGUAGGAUGGACAGAUUGAUAGCUCUUUCUUGAUUCAGUGGGUGGUGGUGCAUGGCCGUUCUUAGUUGGUGGAGUGAUUUGUCUGGUUAAUUCCGAUAACGAACGAGACUCUGUCCUGCUAAAUAGUCCAGUGGCAUCAAUCACUAUGUGAUUACAGCUGCUGUUACUUCUUAGAGGGAUUCGCGGAUUUAAACCGCAAGAAAUAGAGCAAUAACAGGUCUGUGAUGCCCUUAGAUGUCCGGGGCCGCACGCGCGCUACAUUGACAGUAGAAGCGAGUAUUUCUACCUGGUUCGAAAGAAUUGGGAAAUCUUCGAAUUACUGUCUCCACAGGGAUUGAGGUUUGCAAUUUUGCCUCAUGAACGAGGAAUUCCCAGUAGGCGCAAGUCAUCAGCUUGCGUCGAUUACGUCCCUGCCCUUUGUACACACCGCCCGUCGCUACUACCGAUUGAGUGCAUUAGUGAGGACCUCGGAUUGAGAACAUAGUGGCGCAAGUUACUUUGUUUUCGAAAAGUGGUU
rnacentral:rRNA from 1 species